rnacentral:snRNA from 1 species
AUACUUACCUGGCAAGGGAGACACCGUGAUCACCAAGGCGGUUCCACCCAGGGCGAGGCUCGGCCAUUGCACUCCGGCUGUGCUGACCCCUGCGAAUUUCCCAAAUGUGGAAAUCUCGAUUGCAUAAUUUCUGGUAGUGGGGGACUGCGUUCGCGCUCUCCCCUG